rnacentral:lncRNA from 1 species
CUAACUCCAUAGUCACCAACUAUUCCAUCUACCUAUGUUCUACCCAACAAUUUUGUAGAUAUAAAUACUUACACAGUUUAAAUCAUUUAACACCUGUAUAAAACUCCAAUUUCCAUGCCCAUCUCAAAUAGACAAAUAACAUAUAAACACAUAGCACGUAUUUCAUAGCAAAUACUUCAUAUUUAUGUGUUAGAAGAAAGUAACUACACGCUCACACAUAUAAACAACAAUAUACUUAAUACACUCAACCCAUACUUGUAUUAUUAUCGUGUUUAUGAAAGGUAGUAUACACUCACUUGAUCAGAAGAUGAUCGGACAACACUACGACUUGCAGAAGUAGUAUUCUUCGGUAGAUCUGGAAGAUCUCCACAAAAAUCGAACUUCUCGCGGGCAGAGCUUCGGCUCGGGAAUUUCACUUCUCGGGAUCUUCGGGGCCUCGGGACUUGCUUCGGGGCUCGGGAAUGAUACCGGGGCUUCGGGAUAAUUCUUGCACGAAAAACGAUGCAAAAACGCGAGAGAAAGAAGAGAAAUGAGCAAUUGAAUCGGCUGCACUCGACUCCCUUUUAUAUGGUCUGGAUCUACGAUUUACGCGAGGCGUACUCUUAGGUUACGCAGGGCGUAACCUGGAUAAGCCCGGUGACUCCUCCCUUGGAUAAUAUCGAAAAUUUAUAUUUAAAUUUAAUUUCGAAAAUAUUUAAUAAACUUCAAAAAUUCAUAUCUUCCUCAUACGAACUCCGUUUUCGACGUUCUUUAUAUCCACGCGUAGGUGAGACUACGAUCUACAACUUUCGUUUAGACUCCGUCGGCUAAUUUUGACUUUAUUUUUAUUAUUUAUUUUUAGUAGGCCGGGACAGGAAAACUCCGUUAUAAAAUCAUAACUUCUUCAUCCGACGUCCGUUUUCGCCUAUCUUUUUAUCGUUUUACUAAAAUUAAUGAGAUCUUCAAUUCUAAUUUAGAUUGUUUUGGCUAAAAACCGCUCAGUCUCAAAUCGAGCAUUCGGGGUGCAUACCGCUAAGUCGAAACUUAGAAAAAUCAUAACUUCCUCAUACGAAGUCAGAUUUGGACGUUUCUUUUUAUGCACGCUCAUCGUUUAACAUAUUCUACGACUUUCAUUUAGAUUGCUAAGGCUAAAUAUCGCUCUAACGUAAAUUCACUUUUUACGUCGCGCUGUGUCGUGCCGGUUCUGUCGCGAAACUUCGACAGGUCAUAACUUCUUUGUUAUAACUCGGAUUUUGGCGUUCUUUAUAUGCACGGAAACCUUGUAACAUAUACUACAACUUAGUUAGGAUUAUUCAUCCUAAAUAAUCUUCUAUCAAAAAGUCAUUUUUGACGCUUAUUGUCUCUAAAUUGACUAGCCCUGAUCUACGGGCGUUACAAUUAUCUCCCCCUUAGGAUGAUUACGUCCCGGAAUCAUCAACGAAAUAGGAUUCGCAUACUGACUCCAUAAGUUAUCUCUCCAUUCUAAGUAAUAACCCUGAUGGGUCGUGUCCCGAUGACCUCUCAUCAUAGUCGGACUCAAUUGAUAUGACCCCUAGGGUCGGAAUAACAACUAUCUUACUAGACAUUACCGAAACAAUGGUAAUGACAUACUUGAAUAAAACGGAAUCAAUUACUAGCUUCUUGAUAACCUUGUGACUUCCCCUGAUCCAAGCGUGAGUCCUGUGCUUCCGGUAGUAUAGAUCUCUACUACCAUUCACACCUACUCAUACUCGUCCCAAGUAUUGUCUCGCAGUUAACCAAGUCACCAUACAUAAAUCAUAUAAUCAUUCAACACAUCAGAUAACAAAACUAGGAUUUAUAUUAAUUCUUGAAACUAUUACACAAAAGUUCAAGUUCACCCUAUACUAUGCCUCUAACAGGCUAUGCUUCCUGAUACAGACUUUACCGACUUUAUAUAUUAAUAUGAAGUCUUCAUCCUUUAACCCUCCCAUCCCUUUCUGCUUCGUUGAGGAACAUGUUGAAUGCCCUUGGCUGUGGAGGUGUGUUUUUCUGUGGGCAGUCUUUAGAAAUAUGACCUUCUUCAUUACACCUAUAGCACAUCUUCUUGAUAGGUGCGCACUUGUUGGCGUAGUGCCCUGUCUUCCCACAUUUGUAGCAAGUCAUCUCCUCGCUACAUUUCCCGAAGUGUUUCUUCUUACACUUCUCACACCACUUAGCUUCAUCUCUUCCCCCAGAUUUCGAGAAUUUACUUUCUUUGUCGAUUAUUGAAGAUCCUUCACGCUUCCUUUUCUCUCCAACUUCAGCCCUUUCCAGACCCUUUUCUUUUAUUUGGGUCUCAACAUUUUUGGCUGCCCAGAUGGCGGCUUUCAGAGUGGUUGCUUGCUUGACUAUCGGACCAAAGUCCGCUGGUAAUCCAUUGGCAAACUUGUUGACCUUGGAAAGUUCAGUUGGAAUUAGGUAUGGAAUAAGCUUCAUCUUCUCCGUAAAGCUCGUAGCGUAUUCAGUAACGCUCAAUUUUCCUUUCUUCAGAUUCUGGAACUCAUUGUUGAUUUCCAGAAGAUCUUGCUCAGAGCAGUAUUGCAAUUUCAGUUGCACCACGAAUUCUUCCCAAGACAUCUUGCUAGCUUCCCCCUUAGGCAUCGAACCAGCCAGUAACUUCCACCAGCUCAAUACUCCAGAUUUUAACAGAGGGAUUGCAAGAGCGGUCUUCUGUCUGUUGCUACACUCGCAACUUUCAAACAUUGUCUCCAUUUCGGAGAUCCAGUCCAUGACUUGCACCGGUGUCGGGCUCCCAGAAAGACAUGGUGGUUUGGAUGCCAUGAAAUCCUUGUACUUGCAUCCACGUCCAUCAUUUCCCCUAUCCUGGUUGUUUUGGCGAACUAUUGGUGGGUUGGCUUGACCAACGGUCCCACUGUAGUUUCCUCCUUCAGACUGCCCUCCAUUUACUUCGGGCUCUUCAACUUGAAUUGACAAUUCCUCGCGAUUCUGCCUGAUCAGACGUCUGGUUUCUUCCAUCUGAUUAUUCAACAUUGCCUGGAUCAUCACUUGAACUCCGGCCAUUGUCAUUGGUUCAGGCGCUGCUGCUACAACAGGUAUUUGUUCAAUUACUGGUAUUUGAUUCCUGUUUUCAUCAGCAUUUCCAACUCCACUCCUCGUUCUCACCAUUUUUGAUCUAUACACCGAAUAAGGUGAAAUUAGAUCCUUAGUCACGAUAGAUAUUCAAAUCAUCCUUAUCACUCCGAAACGUUUACAUGUUAGUUCUAAUAUCGUAGACGCACGCUUAGAAUCCUAAACACAUAAGGUUUCCAGAUCCGGUCGGCAACAGACCAUAGAUCCGAACAAUUAACAUCAUAUAUGGCAAACAUAUAACAAUUAGCACAUAAUAGCAUUUUAGGCAAUUUUCCUAAAAUAAACUAGUGCCUGUGUCAAUUUAGGUGUACUACCUAAAAUAUAAUGGACACACUCAACUCACAAUCAUUGCUUAGCAUUCUAAGUUUAAGUCUAGAAAUAAAUCCAUAUUCCUAGUUCGCUUAAACUAAUGCUCUGAUACCAACUGUGACAUCCCCAAUUUCACGGCCAGAAAAGACCGAUUUGUUUAUGCUUUGUUUUAUAAAUCAGAGUGAUCGUUUAAAGAAAACGGUUGCGGAAUUUGUUCCCAAAAUAAAAUAUGAUAACCAUUUAUCAAAACAUUUCUCGAAAAGAAUGUAUUUUCAUUAAAUAAUAAAACCUCGGGAUGUCAUGUUCGUUACAGACCAAAAGCAUAAACAAUAUAAAAUAGAUCUUACAAUAGUUAUUUAUAACUACUGAUCUAUAAUCCCAAAAUCUCUCGUCAAGUCCACCAACUUAUACCCUUGUGCCAUUACCUGUAAUGAAAAGAAAACUGAGUGGGUCAGGCUUGGGAGCCUGGUGAGCAUAUAGGGUUUUCAACCCACAAUAAUAUAAUUAUUAUAUUUAAUCAGCAAACAAUCAACCCAAUUACCCAUCCCCAUUAUCUUCUUAAGGUUUUACCCUAAGAACCAACUAUCCUUCAUUCAUUUAUUCGUAAGGAAUUGGCACGAAUUCCAUUGCUGCCAAAGUUUAUUUAUCAAGUACUAAAUCCAUAGUUAUCAGGCGCUAACUCCAUAGUCACCAAGGUUCACUUAACAAGCGCUAACUCCAUAGUCGCCAAGGUUUACUCAACAAGCGCUAACUCCAUAGUCACCAAGGUUUACUCAACAAUAGGCGCUAACUCCAUAGUCACCAAGGUUCACUUAACAAGCGCUAACUCCAUAGUCGCCAAGGUUUACUCAACAAGCGCUAACUCCAUAGUCGCCAAGGUUUACUCAACAAGCGCUAACUCCAUAGUCGCCAAGGUUCAUCAAAUAGGCACGAAGUCACAUCGUCGCCAAGGUUUAUACAAUAGGCGCUAACUCCAUAGUCACCAACUAUUCCAUCUACCUAUGUUCUACCCAACAAUUUUGUAGAUAUAAAUACUUACACAGUUUAAAUCAUUUAACACCUGUAUAAAACUCCAAUUUCCAUGCCCAUCUCAAAUAGACAAAUAACAUAUAAACACAUAGCACGUAUUUCAUAGCAAAUACUUCAUAUUUAUGUGUUAGAAGAAAGUAACUACACACUCACACAUAUAAACAACAAUAUACUUAAUACACUCAAACCAUACUUGUAUUAUUAUCGUGUUUAUGAAAGGUAGUAUACACUCACUUGAUCAGAAGAUGAUCGGACAGCACUACGACUUGUAGAAGUAGUAUUCUUCGGUAGAUCUGGAAGAUCUUCACAAAAAUCGAACUUCUCGCGGGCAGAGCUUCGGCUCGGGAAUCGCACUUCUCGGGAUCUCCGGGGCCUCGGGACUUGCUUCGGGGCUCGGGAAUGAUACCGGGGCUUCGGGAUAAUUCUUGCACGAAAAACGAUGCAAAAACGCGAGAGAAAGAAGAGAAAUGAGCAAUUGAAUCGGCUGCAC